rnacentral:rRNA from 1 species
AUUGAACUUUGGCGGCAGGCUUAACACAUGCAAGUCGAGCGGUAGCACAGGAGAGCUUGCUCUCUGGGUGACGAGCGGCGGACGGGUGAGUAAUGUCUGGGAAACUGCCUGAUGGAGGGGGAUAACUACUGGAAACGGUAGCUAAUACCGCAUAACGUCGCAAGACCAAAGAGGGGGACCUUCGGGCCUCUUGCCAUCAGAUGUGCCCAGAUGGGAUUAGCUAGUAGGUGGGGUAAUGGCUCACCUAGGCGACGAUCCCUAGCUGGUCUGAGAGGAUGACCAGCCACACUGGAACUGAGACACGGUCCAGACUCCUACGGGAGGCAGCAGUGGGGAAUAUUGCACAAUGGGCGCAAGCCUGAUGCAUCCAUGCCGCGUGUGUGAAGAAGGCCUUCGGGUUGUAAAGCACUUUCAGCGAGGAGGAAGGUGGUGAACUUAAUACGUUCAUCAAUUGACGUUACUCGCAGAAGAAGCACCGGCUAACUCCGUGCCACCCACCGCGGUAAUACGGAGGGUGCAAGCGGUAAUCUGAAUUACUGGGCGUAAAGCGCACGCAGGCGGUUUGUUAGCCAGAUGUGAAAUCCCCGGGCUCAACCUGGGAACUGCAUUUGAAACUGGCAAGCUAGAGUCUCGUAGAGGGGGGUAGAAUUCCAGGUGUAGCGGUGAAAUGCGUAGAGAUCUGGAGGAAUACCGGUGGCGAAGGCGGCCCCCUGGACGAAGACUGACGCUCAGGUGCGAAAGCGUGGGGAGCAAACAGGAUUAGAUACCCUGGUAGUCCACGCUGUAAACGAUGUCGAUUUGGAGGUUGUGCCCUUGAGGCGUGGCUUCCGGAGCUAACGCGUUAAAUCGACCGCCUGGGGAGUACGGCCGCAAGGUUAAAACUCAAAUGAAUUGACGGGGGCCUGCACAAGCGGUGGAGCAUGUGGUUUAAUUCGAUGCAACGCGAAGAACCUUACCUACUCUUGACAUCCAGAGAACUUUCCAGAGAUGGAUUGGUGCCUUCGGGAACUCUGAGACAGGUGCUGCAUGGCUGUCGUCAGCUCGUGUUGUGAAAUGUUGGGUUAAGUCCCGCAACGAGCGCAACCCUUAUCCUUUGUUGCCAGCGGUUCGGCCGGGAACUCAAAGGAGACUGCCAGUGAUAAACUGGAGGAAGGUGGGGAUGACGUCAAGUCAUCAUGGCCCUUACGAGUAGGGCUACACACGUGCUACAAUGGCAUAUACAAAGAGAAGCGACCUCGCGAGAGCAAGCGGACCUCAUAAAGUAUGUCGUAGUCCGGAUUGGAGUCUGCAACUCGACUCCAUGAAGUCGGAAUCGCUAGUAAUCGUAGAUCAGAAUGCUACGGUGAAUACGUUCCCGGGCCU